AAGCUGAAUGCUACUUCAAGCUAUGAUCAGUUACUGUCUUAUAUACGAACUAAAGUAUGAACUAGCACACAGUAUUCAAAUGGAUGAUUCAUAAGCUUAAAACACAAGGAAGGCUUAGUCUUUGCCUAAGCUCUCCCAUUGCAACAGAUUUUAGGACCAAAACCUGUCCUGGCUUUAGGAUGGGUUUUGAUACCUCAACUGAUCAGGCUUUUUCCAGGUUGCUAGGGGACAUCUGGACCCUGUAUACAAAGACCUUGAAAUACGGUGGAGAAUCAGAAGUUAGUAGAUACUU